rnacentral:rRNA from 1 species
GAUGAACGCUGGCGGCGUGCUUAACACAUGCAAGUCGAACGGGAAACCUUUUAUUGAAGCUUCGGCAGAUUUAGCUGGUUUCUAGUGGCGGACGGGUGAGUAACGCGUGGGUAACCUGCCCUAUACAGGGGGAUAACAACCAGAAAUGGUUGCUAAUACCGCAUAAGCGCACAGGGCCGCAUGGUCCGGUGUGAAAAACUCCGGUGGUAUAGGAUGGACCCGCGUUGGAUUAGCCAGUUGGCAGGGUAACGGCCUACCAAAGCGACGAUCCAUAGCCGGCCUGAGAGCGAGAACUGCCAGAUCGGGAUUGGGCCAAGACCGAGACUCAUGCGGGAGGCAGCAGUCGAGAAGAUUGUACAAUGGAUGAAACCCUGAUGAAGCGAAGCCGCGUGAAGGAAGAAGUAUCUCGGUAUGUAAAUUUAGAUCAGCAGGGAAGAUAGUGACGGUACCUGACUAAGAAGCCCCGGCUAACUACGUG